GUCCAUAGUCCAGCUGUAGUGUAUCAGUUGAAUUGCAGUGGGAGAAAACGGCGAUCAAUGACAAUCUGCAUGCUACUACACAAUAGAAGAUGCAUGUCGCUUCUUUUUGUUGAAGUUGUCGAGCACUGUAACAAUAAAUUGACACGAGAUUGGCAGGAAUUACCGUUGAAAAUGAGCAUUAUAGAUUGACAGGUCAAGCCUCGUCUACACUUCCUGACACAGGGACACAGUUGAGCUCCUUCAAAUUUCUAUGUUGUUGCUGCUACUUUCCACUAUGUUUGUAAAUAGCUUAAUGGUGAAAUAAAAGAUGAACCAAUGAAC